rnacentral:rRNA from 1 species
AUGCAAGAGCAUAAGAUAUGCAUCCAGGCUAGAAGUAAUGAUGAACAUGAGAGCUAUGCAGCCAACAAUGGUUCGCAUAACAGUUCAGGCAAGUGUAUCUAUAUAGUAGUUAUGACUGAAUACAUACUGUGGUGUGAGCAUGUAGUAGUGGCUGCUACUGUUGAUGAAGGUCCUGAAGAAUUAAUACACCAAGUUCAUUUGUCUCCAGCUCUCUUUAAUUAUGCCAGUGGGGAUGAUUCUGUCGUUAAGUUGUCAUCGUCAACCUUCCUCACUGAUCAGUGGACACCUGAGCUAGGAAAUAAUCCCCAAAUACAGCAUGAGCACUAUAAAUAG